UUUCCUGUCCCCUCAACAAUGUUGGUUUCUCUUCUGGGUACAAGCAGAUUUAUCUGGCUCCUCGGUUGACAAAAUCGUCAUCUCAAGAAACAUGGAAACAAAGACAUUUUAAAAAGAGAUGUCAAUCUCUGUGAAAAGAAAUCUUUAUAUAUUGAUGUUUGGACCCAUGUCCUCUGAACGUCAUGAGGAAAACCAGACUGAGGACCACAUUCCAUGAAAACUGAUGGACACCCGGCUUAUCCUCCAGGGUUCUUCAUCAGCAUUCUAUCAUAGUAAGCAGCCCAUGGACCUCUGCUCUUUCAAAUCGACCGAUCAUUUAACUAAGUGCCGGGAGCCUGGCUCCUGCCAGACUCCAGCCAUUGAUAUCUGAGCAAAUUGAUCUACGUUCACCCUUUAAAACCACUGAUGAAUCAAUCAGAACUUCUGAAAGCAAGGAAAAACUGAAAUGUCUUAGUCAAAGAGAUUUCGAUGUUGAAAACCAGCUACCACAAGGAAAGGCUUAUCUUUCGAUUCACCGUCCGGGAACAAAUGUAAAUCCGCCUCUUGAAAAGAUGAACAGCACGUGUAUUGAAGAACAGCAUGACUUGGACCACUACUUGUUUCCAGUGGUUUACAUCUUUGUGGUAAUAGUGAGCGUUCCAGCCAAUAUCGGCUCUCUCUGUGUGUCUUUUCUGCAAGCAAAGAAGGAGAACGAACUAGGCAUUUACCUCUUCAGUUUAUCACUAUCGGAUCUGCUGUAUGCAUUAACUCUCCCUCUGUGGAUUGAUUAUACUUGGAAUCAAGACAACUGGACAUUCUCUCCCGCCCUGUGCAAAGGGAGCGCUUUUUUCAUGUACAUGAAUUUUUACAGCAGUACGGCCUUUCUCACCUGCAUCGCCAUCGAUCGGUAUCUAGCAGUUGUUUACCCUCUGAGGUUUUCUUUUCUAAGGUCAAGAAGAUUUGCGUUCAUGGUCAGUCUAUUCAUCUGGGUGCUGGAAAGCUUUUUCAACGCUAUCAUCUUGUGGGAAGAUGAAACAGCUGUCGAAUACUGUGAUACCAAAAAAUCGAAUUUUACUUUAUGCUAUGACAAAUACCCUUUGGAGAAAUGGCAAAUCAAGUUCAACUUUUUUAGGACGUGUGUAGGCUAUUUGAUCCCUUUGGUGGUCAUAAUGGUUUGCAACCGGAAAGUCUACCAAGCUGUGAAGCAAAAUCAAGCCACGGAAAACAGUGAAAAGAAGAGAAUCAUAAAACUCCUUGUUAGUAUCACAUUGACUUUUAUCUUGUGUUUUACUCCCUUUCAUGUGAUGUUGCUGAUUCGCAGCAUUUUAGAACGUGAUGUGAACUUAGAUGAACAUAUAUUUGACCAUAACAAGUCUGGGAAGCAGACUUAUAAAAUCUAUAGAAUCACAGUUGCAUUAACAAGUCUAAAUUGCGUGGCAGAUCCAAUGCUGUACUGUUUUGUAACUGAAACAGGAAGAUCAGAUAUGUGGAAUAUAUUAAAUUUUUUUACAGGGAAGUUUAAUAAAUCAGAAAGACAAAGAAAAAGUAUGCUUUCUAUGUCUACCAGAGAUACUUUGGAAUUAGACAUCCUGGACUAGAACCGAAGAAUUUUUUUAAAGAUAUAUAAUAUUAUAUCACUGAGAUUGUGUUUGGAAAAGGAAAUCUAAGCAGGAAAAGAGACUAAGUGUUCCCCUUGAGGGACUAUUUUAAUUCUCUCCAAUGGAAGUAUUUUAAAAGUGCACUGCAUUAGUUCCCUGACUCUUAUUAAAUGAGAAUUAAAAUUUAAUAUUUUCCUAAUGACUCAGGAUCAUUAUUUUCAGUGGCAAUUGUUUUUGUAUCUGCGUUCUCAUCUCUCACAGGUUUACUGGUCGGCUACCUGUGAGACAGAACAAUCCCUGAAGGGAAGUUGUGGGUGGAACACGGCGUGAGCUGGUAGGUGCCGGCUCCCCCACAGUGGGCUACCAGCCAUCAUUACUUCCUUCAGAUGGUUCAACACACCAGCGGGUACCUUAAGGGCCUUCACUGGUGGUUCCACAUUUUCAGUGGGGCCUGCUUCUAGGAAUUCACAGUUCUGAGGAGACACGUGCUGUAGACAUCACCAUAAACGGACAGGAGCCCUGCCUGUGGCCACUGGGUGUCGAUGGUGUUCCAUUCAGAACCUUGGAGUUCAAGGCUAGCUGCCACUUCCAAAAAGCAAAAAGGAGCUUAGGAUGACAUUCUUCCAGACAAGAAAGAAGAAAUAUCCACAAUGAAUUGGAAAAUAAUACGGUGUGAAAUUCAGUGUGCAUCACUGAGUUAUCUGCUUUCCAGAAAGCUUAGCAACCAUCAGAUAAUCGCAGUUGGUUUAAACUCCCCACGUUGUUCUAACAUUUUUUUUUCCAACCAGUUAAAUUGGUCAGUCUGCACACGAGAGAACAUAGACUAAAUUGUUUAAUUUCUACAAGAUUUUGGAUGUAACAUUGAUGACUUGUUCUUAUUUAGUUAUCUCACCCACUUAAGAAAAUCCUGGCCAUCUUUCACAGAUAGAGAAACAUAAGACAUUUGAGCCGUAAGCAGUUUGCAACUUGUUUACUAUGAUGUAAUUAUCUGUGAAACUCAAGAUAUAAUUCAAUAUUUGUAUGACUUUCAAUUCCUAAUUUAUUAUUGUUAGAUCUCAGCACCAGAAAUAUACAUCUGUUAUUCUGAAUUGUUUAAAUUUGUUCUUCCCCAAAGAACAGUAAUAUAAUCAUGUUCUAGUUUAACAGCAUUUGCAUAUCAUUAAACAUGUAAUGGCCUAUAAUCUACUUUUCUUCUGCCGUAAUUUUCUUAAACUCUUUAUGAAACACCAGUAGAUUUUUACACAUUUAAGAAAUAGGUUAUGAUUCCUCAAAUGAUGUCAUAAUUAGAUGUUCAGAAAGCAAGCCAAUAAAGGAAUGAGCUGGGGAAUCUCCAUGUCUUGUUCAGUGCAAGCUUUAGAAUAAAAACAUAAAUUUCAUUAUCUGGGAAAUGUGUGCGCAGUUAAUUUCAAAAUCAAAUACAAUCAAGAAAUCUUGCUCUGCAGUGACUACACUUGCUGCAAGAAAUAUUAACCUCAGUUCUCAGGGUUUCAUCGAUCCUUCUUGGAAAUAUGAUUGAAAUGCUUCUAAAAGAAUCCUUUUCAGAAUGAUUGUAAAAUUCCUGGUCUUGGCUCUAAGACUAUUGGCACCAACAAAUAGAUUAACUUGAAAACCAUGAUUUCUUUUGACAGUUAGAUGGACCAAAUCAAAGAAUUGUAGUAAUGGACUGAAAAGUGCCUACAUAGAGGCGUACUGGCCACCUAGAAACACGUGCACAAUAAGUGCCAGGUCUAUUUUAUUUUAUUUUAUUUUAUUCUUUUAAUGGAUGCACCACGUGGAAGUUCCCAGGCCAGGGACUGAAUUCGAGCCACAGCUGUGACUACACUGCAAUUGCAACAAUGCCGGAUCCUUUCACCCACUGCUCCAGGCUGGGUAUCAGACCCGAGGGGCUGCAGUUGGGUUUUUAAUCCACUGUGCCACAGUGGGAAUUGCCAAUGCCAGCUCUAUUAAGUUUAUUAGUGUUUUUUAAAAAUAUAUAUGAUAAAAAAAGUCAUCUGUCAUACCACCCACCCACUCCUGGAAAUGACACUCGCUGAUGGUUAAGAAAGCGGUUUUGCAUCUUUGGAGCAAUGUCUUCAGCAAGUCUCUGGCAGUUUACUCAAGAAGUGUAUAUGUGACACCCUGUGUUCGAAAGGACUGUGGGAAGGAAAGACCUCAUGUCUUUCAGCACUUGUUCAGUUCCCCUUGGAUGAAAGAAUUGCUAAGAAAAAGCAGGGUCUGGAAUAAAUAGAUUCUUUGUCUUGCUCUACAAAUCUAGCUCUGACUACUAAAAGGGCUAUUGCUGAAGGUGUUCUCACUGGUAAUCAGAAUUGUUUGAUGAGGGAAUAAACAAUAAUUAAUUAAAUGAACUAAAAAUCAUUCAGGUUCACUCUUUGUCCUAACCCCAGAGUUCAGUUCCUGAAACCCCUUAGAACUAUUUUUAUUUUGAGUUGAAAAAUUUUAAGAUUGUAGGGUUAAAAUGAGGUUAAAGAGAAAGUUUACUUUUCCUCCCCCUUUUUUGGCCUACAAGAUUCCUAAGCCAAGGAUCAGAUCCUAGCUGAAUUUCAACCUACA